UCUACAGGGGCAAACCUGUGCUAGGGCCAACCAGAGGCCGGGUCCCUGAGGAUGGGCCUGGCUCUGUGCCUGGGGGCAGCGCGGUCCUGGUAUCAACAGAGGAGAGCCAGGUGCUUGGGAGCCUGGGCCCGGCUUGGAGCCUGGCCUGUGGGGCCAUCCGAGGGGCUGAACCUGGUCUGCAGUAGCCAGCUUGCUUCCUGGAGCCUCAGGCAGGCCUGGCAGCCUGGUCUUUGGGGGUCAGCCUGGAGCUUGGGGCCAGGGCUGGCUUGGUACCAGGCCCUGUAGUCUCUCCCUUGGGUCCCCAGCUCCUGCAUUGUGACGUAUGGCUGGCCAUUCAGGUGCAUGUCCCCAGGAGGGAGUCAGCGCUGGAGCUCCUGUUUUUCCAUCCAACGGAUGUCCUUAAAGACUGUUCUUAUUAACCACAUCAGCAGGGAUUACUCCACAGGGUGUUCUAGGCUCUCUGCUUUCCUGGAAUUUGCAAGAGACUCUGUCCUUUCCACGGGGCUGGGCUGUCUGAGCCGGCCCACGCUCGUCCUUCCUGUCUGAGGAAUCUCACAGGCCCAAGAAGAAAGGACUCGCUCCUUCCUUGCUGCUCCCUGAUGCUGUCACAUGUCGAAGCUUCCCCUGGCCACCCUGCCGUGGGGUGGUUCUGGUUUAUGCAGCUCAGCACCCAGGCCAGUUUCCUCAUGCUGCCUCGGAGACACGUGCACCAGCCAGCCCGCACCCCGCUCGGAGCUGGGGUACCAGUCCUACAAGUUCCCUCCCGGCGUGGACGUUCGAUGACCCCCACUGGCUCCUGUCCUCUCCUCAGGCCUGGGGCACUGCGUGUUCCUCUUUGCUCUUAGGUUGGCUGAUGCCCUGUUGGCACUUUCUGACAUUAUAUUCUUGUUUUAUAAAGUGGUGGGGUUCUUCUUCCCUGAAAGGAUCUUGACUAAUAGAGAAGUUGGUGCCAGGAAACGUCCAAGGAAAUGGACACUCAAAAAUGAGAUUUGGGCAUAAGGGCGGGCGUGACCUGGACUGGAACGCAGACGGAGCUCCUGGAGUGCCCCACGCAGCCACCUUUGCCUGACUGUGAGGAAGCACCUGGAGAAGCCAGUCCCCUGAGGGAGUAGGGGCAUAGAGAAUUUCCUGGUAAGCCUGCUGCUGUUUUUGAAAGAGGAUGAUGAAGUAAACAAGAAAGUACUUGCUGAAGACACAAGGUACUGCUCUGGGCAUGGAGACGGUGAUGACAGCUCCCCAGGGCAGCCACGCACCUCGGACUAUGCAGGGAGAGAUCUGCUUCAGGGCUUAGUAACAUUGGUUUCUUUUAAUUCGUUGAUGAUUCAAUCUGAAAUAUUUAGCUUUAAAAUUAUGAAUAUUCUUGUGCCUCAAUCAGUUUGGGCUGACAGAAUGAAGUACCAUGGACCUGGUGGCUUCACAACACACACAUUUCUUGCAGUUUUGCAGGUUGGAGUCUGACCAAGUGCCUGCUUCUUGAGCACAGGCAGCUGUCUGUCUAUGAGGUUUCACGCAGAGGCCACCUGGCACUGGCCUCCUCUUAUAGGGCACAAACCCCCAUGAGGGCUCUACCUCGCCUUCUCAUGGCCUCCCAGGGACCCCACCUCCAAAUCAUCGCACUGGAAUUAGGGCUUCAACAUGUCGAUCUGGGGACGCAGACACGCAGCCCAUUGCCUGUUGACAAGUGGGUGUUUCCAGAAUCUGGAAUCAUGUGAACGUAUCGGAUUCAGGGUGUGAGUGAGACUCAACCCGGCGGUCACCUGGCCUGCUGUCAAGAUCUUUUCAAGAAGAACAGACUGGAUAUUAGAAGGUUUUACUUAAGAGAGCAUAUAAUGUUUAUUGAUUUAGUAUUAAUUAAUCCUAAUUAUUAACACGAUUUGCUACGAUAGCUUACUUUUGAUACUAUACUCCUUCAUAAAAGCCAACUGUAUCACCAGCGGCUAUAAAAGUAAAUUCACAUUAUAUUAUCUGACUGUUCAAUGGAAAGAUCAUUUUCCAUAAUGAAUGUCACAGUUUUUUUUUUAAAGAGAGAGAGAGAGAGAUAGAAUGUUUUAAUAUUUAUUUAUUUUUUUAGUUUUCAGUGGACACAACACCUUUAUUUUAUUUUUAUGUGGUGCUGAGGAUUGAACCCAGCGCCUUGCGCAUGCCAGGCGAGCGCGCUACCGCUUGAGCCACAUCCCCAUCCCUGAAUGUCACAAUUUAAGAUUAAGUAACAAGCCAUAUUAUUUUUAGUGAUUAACAAUGAUUAAUGUUUGAGGAGGUAGAUAUAUUUAACCCAUAAACAUUACACAAUAUAUACAUGUAUCAAAACAUCACGAUAGCCCCAAAUGUAUAUUAUUUUUAUGUUUUAUCUGAUGGUUAAAAAACAAAUUUAAUUUAAAUUUUAAAAAUGAAUGUUUAAAUGCACGUAUGGUGUAAGACUGUACAUAAAAUGUAUAUAUGAGUUGCAGUUCACAUAGGCCAAUUUAAUUAUAAAUGAAAUGAAUAUUAUUGUCUACUUAACUGUACAUUGAAGCAAAGGAGGAUGGAGUGG